rnacentral:tmRNA from 1 species
UACGUUUAAUUUUUUUUUUUUUUAUUUAUUAUUAAAUUGCUUUUUUAAGCUAUAGCAAUAAACGUUUGAAUUGUGAACCGAGACGGACCCGGGGGCGGUACCCGGCGCCUCCACCAAAAAAAUAACGGGGGGCGAAAUAGGAUCGACGUGCGUGGAAUUUUCAAAAACUUUGCUCGGAAUGGUACCAACGUUAUCGGACCAAACUUUAUAAAUGCCAACGAUAAUGAAAUGGCACUCGCUGCUUAAUUUAUUAAGCUAGCGCGGUUGUGAGGCACCGGGCAACAGAAGUCUCAUCG